CGAAACGAACAAGAUCGGUCUGCCGAAUAUUCUGCGAUAACUCUGCAGGGAUGAUUCGUCGAUUAUCGAAACGGCGAUGCAAUUAUUAUGCAAUUAUUAGCCUCCGAACAAUCGAGAAUCCGAGCAAAUUCUCUCGAAUAUACGAAAUUAGUUAUUUUACUAAUGAUAAAAUAAUAAGAUGAAUCGAAUAAAAUAAACCACGUCGACCAAAGUUUACCAAGAACUGUGAACGAUUUCAUAACAUAGAAAUGUUUGGACGGUGGUUCAACGUUGAAGGAAGGCGAACGUUAAAGAAUGAACGAACAAACGUGCAACAGAAAUAUUAAUGUUACGUUUUGCGUUACGUUGUUGCUUUUCAGAGCUAUCGCGUGGAAUUUGUUUCCGCGUAGCUCGCCGAAAAUUCGCGAAAUCCUGCGGCCGUGUUCGCCAUUCGGAUAACGGAGCGCUUCGGAGUAAAGCGAUAGAGAGCGUGCCGUAAUUAUUGAAACGGGUGUGCUCGCGUUUAAUGCGAUCGCCGCGGUAACAAGACGAAACGUUACGAAAGCUUGUAGAAUAACGUUUGACGUAACGCAAGAAAGGAAAAGGAUGAGCCGGCGAUCGGCAACGUUCGUGAAGAGAGAAGGCAAUCCGGCGAAUCGAUUUCUCUGGCCGCAAAGAGUCCGCAAUUAGACGUGUUCGUCCGCGACAGCCGAGCGAUACCGCGGUUGGCUCGCGAAAAUCUGGAACGCCGAUCAUCGGUGAAAUUUUCAUGGAUCGUCGGUCCCGUUGGUCUAGUGCUCCAGUCGAUCGAACGCUGUUCGUCACGCAGCCCGCCAAUUAUUGCCGAAACUAAUUAAUUUCUCCUCCUCGGCCAUCGCUGAUCCGCUUCGAAAGCAAGAAAGUGUGAAGGAGGCUUGCUGAAAAGUCAAGACGCGGAGUCCGCCGAGUGCGACAGGUCGCAGGCGAAUUCGUGCGACGAAAAUCCUGGCACGAAUUUCAUAAUACGAAUAAUGUACGUGGACUUUCACGCGACUCAAUUCACGGAUGCCGUAAAUGCGCGACCACGUUCGUCGGGAAUAGUUCGCGCGGUUUUCCUUCGCGUUCGUCUAGAAAUCAAUUACAACAGGCACUAUAGUUCGUUAUUCCUUCCGUCGUUAUUUCAAGGUAACUCAGUUUUUAGAUCUAUUAAACAAGAAUUAUGCUGGCCAGUGCUGUAGAAGUACAGUGCCGUGCAAAGAUUUUCGCAAUUUAUCCAGUCGUGUUAAAACGAAACCGUGUUACAGGUUGCAACGGUGUACGAGGGUUCCCGGCAAUUUAUCCAAUCGUGUCACAGAAGCGAAACCGUGUUACAGGAUGCCGCGUUGUAGGAUGGGCUACCUGUACCUAAAAUUUCAAGGCCGUCGCUGCGGCGAUCAAAUUUGUACACGACGCGUGUACCAGACCGUUUUAAAGAGAACGAGCGCGCGCGCGCGAGCGGAAUACAACUAUCCGCGAGAGAGAGAGAGAGAGAGAGAGAGAGAGAGAGAGAGAGAGAGAGAGAGAGAGCGUUGCGACAACGACGAGCAUUAUUAUAUUAUGACACACAGCGUUCGAUGUUCCAUUGCGUUGACCCGAUUGGGAAAGAGAGGAGGCUUCUCUCUAUAAUUUUCCACCUGCUAUAUAAUCGGGACGGAUGAAAAUGGCGGUUCAAGGCCUUUGAUCAGAAGCGCCAUUCCAACCCGCGACUCCAACUUUCAUCGUUACGCUAGGCUGCCUUUAUGUACCAAACCGAAGAACUUUUGCGGAAUGGAAAGUUUCGCGAAAACAUAGGAAAUGGAACAUGUAAACAGCUGGGAUGGCCUCUCGGUGGCCUUGAACGGAUUCGCGUUCCUGUUACGACCGUGCUAUUAGAAAAUUACUGUACACCUAGAAACGUGCUAGAAAUUACAGUGAUGUCUCUCUAAUUGACGCCACAGAUU